rnacentral:rRNA from 1 species
CGAACGAUGAAACUCUAGCUUGCUAGAGAUGAUUAGUGGCGGACGGGUGAGUAACAUUUAGGAAUCUGCCUAGUAGUGGGGGAUAGCUCGGGGAAACUCGAAUUAAUACCGCAUACGACCUACGGGUGAAAGGGGGCGCAAGCUCUUGCUAUUAGAUGAGCCUAAAUCAGAUUAGCUAGUUGGUGGGGUAAAGGCCUACCAAGGCGACGAUCUGUAACUGGUCUGAGAGGAUGAUCAGUCACACCGGAACUGAGACACGGUCCGGACUCCUACGGGAGGCAGCAGUGGGGAAUAUUGGACAAUGGGGGCAACCCUGAUCCAGCCAUGCCGCGUGUGUGAAGAAGGCCUUUUGGUUGUAAAGCACUUUAAGCAGGGAGGAGAGGCUAAUGGUUAAUACCCAUUAGAUUAGACGUUACCUGCAGAAUAAGCACCGGCUAACUCUGUGCCAGCAGCCGCGGUAAUACAGAGGGUGCGAGCGUUAAUCGGAAUUACUGGGCGUAAAGCGAGUGUAGGUGGCUCAUUAAGUCACAUGUG